CAGUCGCCGCGGUAAUACGGAGGGGGCUAGCGUUGUUCGGAAUUACUGGGCGUAAAGCGCACGUAGGCGGAUCAGAAAGUCAGAGGUGAAAUCCCAGGGCUCAACCUUGGAACUGCCUUUGAAACUCCUGGUCUUGAGGUCGAGAGAGGUGAGUGGAAUUCCGAGUGUAGAGGUGAAACUCGUAGAUAUUCGGAGGAACACCAGUGGCGAAGGCGGCUCACUGGCUCGAUACUGACGCUGAGGUGCGAAAGCGUGGGGAGCAAACAGGAUUAGAUACCCGAGUAGUCCCUGUCUCUUAUAC
rnacentral:rRNA from 1 species